GUGCUCACUUCAGCAGCAUAUAUACUAAAAUUGGAACGAUACAGAGAAGAUUAGCAUGGUCCCUGCACAAGGAUGACACGCACAUUUGUGAAAUGUUUCAUUGAUAG
rnacentral:snRNA from 1 species